UGCUGCCCCAAGCACCCUUUGGCUCAUUUACGGGGCUGCAUGAACAGGGACAUCUGGAUGCCAAGAGGACGGGAGAAACCUACAGGAAAGGCAGUGCCGGAGUGGAGGAACCCGAACGAACAAGCUGGAUGCUGUGGAUCUCAUCAGUGUGCAAGUCUUCUGAGUGGCAAAGAUCCCGAUUACUCUGCGUGAAAGCUCAGGCUGUUUCUUAAGCUGGAGGAUGGGAAGCAGAAUGGAGUCAAUGGGGAGUCGCCAGAUAGGUUGUAACCUCGGCACUCAGGCAGGCUGGUUUUGCGACGCCGUGUUCCAAACGUCAUGCUGAGGUCUCUCAGGAAAAGAGGAAGGUGAGUCACCCCACUCAAGGCCCAGAAGGGUGAGACACAACACAGCGAUCUGAACUGUUGCAGGAAGUGGCCAGUGCCUCACAACUUUGGUGUCCCUGCCUGGAUUGCUCAGAUGAUGAGGGCAGG